rnacentral:rRNA from 1 species
GACGAACGCUGGCGGCGUGCCUAAUACAUGCAAGUCGAACGCAGUGGGGACGGGGGAGUAACACGUGGGUAACCUCCCAUCAGAGGGGAGAAAACUUGGAAAAAGGUGCUAAACCGAUACUGAUGGAUGGACUCGCGUUGCAUGAGCUAGUUGGUGAGGUAACGGCUCACCAAGGCAACGAUGCAUAGCUGGCCUGAGAGGGUGACCGGCCACACUGGGACUGAGACACGGCCCAGACUCCUACGGGAGGCAGCAGUAGGGAAUCUUCGGCAAUGGACGAAAGUCUGACCGAGCCACGCCGCGUGAGUGAAGAAGGUUUUCGGAUCGUAAAACUCUGUUGUUAGAGAAGCGUUAUCUAACCAGAAAGCCACGGCUAACUCCGUGCCAGCAGCCGCGGUAAUUC